CCACCUCACAGUUAUCUCCUUCAAAACCUAUACACACAUUAACAUUGUUUCAGUUUGUUGCAGAGGUAAGGUUAGGGAUAUGAAGACUUGAAAGACUUGGGUGCGGCUUUGGAUAAAGGAGAGCUACCUGGCCAACAGAUUACCUGUAUAUCCCAGCAGGCAUUCACACAGGUCUCACCACGAAAACCGUCUGAACAAGUGCAUUCAAAUCCAUCCACUAUACGUCUACAGGUGCCAUUGUUGAGGCAGGGUUCAUCAACACAGUCCGUGAUGCGACGACUGCAAUCCUCUCCUCCAAAACCAGGCAUUGAGACAGAAGGAGAGAGAGAACUUACCCCAUUUGAACAUCAUCAUGGUCAGUAAAAAUGUCCCGGGGCAUUUCAGAUGC